UGAAAUUUAAACACCAAACCUUAUUCUAGGUUUUUUAGAAUAACCAGAUGGGAAACAAUUCCGUGAUUCCAUCACCAGGUGAAGCUGCCAACAUGAUCUGAUCUUUCGUUGAGUAAUCGAGAGGGAAGUUUAGAUCAUGCUGGCAGCUUCAACUGCUAGUGGCGCACGACAAGCAGGUAAGGCAGCCAUGGAUGAAGAGGGGGAGAGAGAGGGAGAGAUGAAGGUGUUUUUUUCUAUGAGGAUUGAGGAUGCUAUGGAAGAGCAAAGGAGGGGGAUAUAUAUAGAGGCCAAGAAUGUCUCAUUUCAACUCCCCUUUUUGGUGUUAGUCUUAUAGUGGUUUUGUUGUUAUGGGAAGCAUUAAUUAUAUGAGGGAUAAUAAAUAAUUAAUUAUGAAGAGAGAAACAGAUGGCAGUGGUCCAAAGUAAGACAAAUUGAAUAUUAUCAUGCCCACGCCACCACCAUGCAGACAAGGCAGUGAGCAGUUCUAAAAUUGACAUAAAUAGAGCCUUUAUUCACUUUAGUGUGGGUCUCUCUCUCUCUCUCUCUGUAAACAUCAUCCCAACCAAAACAAAAAAGAGUGAAAAACAUAAGUAGUUUGUGGGGGACCAUUUGCAUGGCUGCUUAGCAAAAUCAAAGAGAAAGGAAAGUUGUAAGCAUCUCAACCUAACAAAUUCAUGUGACUCCCUCUCUCUCUCUCUCUCUCUCAUGCACCAUUUUUCAUUCCUUUCAAGUAAGUUUCCUUUGUUCUAUUGAAGAAGGCUUUUUUAUCUUUAUAAACAUGGAGUGCCAUUUGUCAGAGGCUCGCUUCUUUUGCAUCUAAUUGGUGUCAGCUGCACAUUAAAAGUAAUCUUUAAAAGACAUUUAUUACAAUGGUUCAAGUAACGUUUUGGGGAGUCUAAUCUGUAAAGUUAAUGAUCUGAUACAGGCAAUUAAGAAACUGACAUUAACACAUUCCAAUAAAGUGAUGUAUGAUCUUGACAUUCUGUUUCUUUCAACUUGUUUGAUCCCUUUGUUAGGUUUAAGAGAUGGAACCAAUAGACGCAUGCAGAGUCAUCCCCAUAUCAAAGCAUCAAAAAGUAGAAAAACAUAAUAUUCCAAAGAAAAAGUUCCCCACUUAUUGCCUUGAAUUGUGUUUUAAUAAACCCUGAAUGACUACUUCACAUUAUAGUAAGAUUCUAGCUCAAAGUUAAACCAACUAAUUUUCCUAUAUGCUUACAAAUUUUAAAUAAUUUUGUGCUACACUUAAAGAACACCUUUUUUUUUUUCUUUUUCUUCCUCUCUGAGCAUUGGAGGAACACAUUGAAUUUGAUUGGUUCAGUUGUUAGAUCGCCAUAGACCCCCUGUGUUUAGUUGGAUAUAUACCUUUGCAUUGUUAAGAAUCUUCCCUGGGUCCUACCUAUCCAUAAAUUUGUCUUGGUGUCCUAUCGUUAUCAGGGGUAUGCUUUUGGCAACCUUAAUGGGGUAGAGGCCAGGGUGGGCCGGGUUGAAUUAAAAUAAACCGUAUGUAUUACGUUUGGACGUGUCCAGCUAGCUAAAACAAAAAUAGAAAUAAUAAAAAUAAAGUCGAUUAGGCGUAUAUACGUUCCUGGUUUCUUAGAAAUAAUAUAAAUUUUUAAAAAACUACCACCCA
rnacentral:precursor_RNA from 1 species